rnacentral:tRNA from 1 species
GGGCCCGUAGCACAACGGGCGAGUGCAAGCGGCUCUUAACCGCGAGGUUGCAGGUUCGAGUCCUGCCGGGCCCA